CAUGCAAGUCGAGCGAACAGACGAGGAGCUUGCUCCUUUGACGUUAGCGGCGGACGGGUGAGUAACACGUGGGUAACCUACCUAUAAGACUGGGAUAACUUCGGGAAACCGGAGCUAAUACCGGAUAAUAUUUCGAACCGCAUGGUUCGAUAGUGAAAGAUGGCUCUGCUAUCACUUAUAGAUGGACCUGCGCCGUAUUAGCUAGUUGGUAAGGUAACGGCUUACCAAGGCAACGAUACGUAGCCGACCUGAGAGGGUGAUCGGCCACACUGGAACUGAGACACGGUCCAGACUCCUACGGGAGGCAGCAGUAGGGAAUCUUCCGCAAUGGGCGAAAGCCUGACGGAGCAACGCCGCGUGAGUGAUGAAGGUCUUCGGAUCGUAAAACUCUGUUAUUAGGGAAGAACAAACGUGUAAGUAACUGUGCACGUCUUGACGGUACCUAAUCAGAAAGCCACGGCUAACUACGUGCCAGCAGCCGC
rnacentral:rRNA from 1 species